UAGCUACACGAACUGACAUUAAAAGUAAGCAUGGUUUAGUUGUCUUAAAAGUGUAAUUAGUUUUACUAGUUUUACUAGUUUUAGGUGUAAUGUUGUACUUGUUUUAAGUACAUGAUAAUUAUUAUCCAAAGGAUCAAUUAAACUGUCAUCGAAAAAUAUAGCUAUGUAUUUAUACAUUUCUCAUUCUUCUUUUUUUUUAUUUUUUCAUUAUGAAGAAAAAAACGUAGACAAAAAGAUUUUAACCAUUUCCAGCUCGAAUCUGCACAACACUAAUCACAUAUUGAUAUAUCUUUUUUACCUUUUUCUGCAAAUUAAAAUAAUAGAAAUUGGUGAAGAACAGGGCGUAUAAUAUCUCAUUGCAAGAUAAGAAACUGACGUUUCGAAAAAUUUUGCAAAGAUCUCCUGACACUUUGCAUUUAUAUUUGUGCUGUACUAACGGUCUACUUGGAAAAUUACCCUGUGGUGAACAAGAAAAUCGAUCGCUUUGCCAUUUAAAAUGCGCGAGAGGAUUAAUCAUAAUAGAAACACCAAUUUAUAUAUACACUUUGACGAAUGUCUCGCGAUGGAAUGAAAUCGAAUUUACUCGAUUAACAGAAUCAAGAGAUGUCAUAGAUGACGGGAAUUCGUAGCGACGUUCUUUCGAAAAGAGAAUCUGUCUUCAGACUCAUUGCUUCAUUGACAAUUUUAUGAUGUACGAAGUUUUUGAUCGUGAAUAACUUACUUGAACUUUUAAAAGAACUUAUCUGAAGACUUAUCUGUUUAAUUGUAAUUUAAAGAUACACUCUUGCAUGCGCGCGCUAAUGUUUUUAAGUAUAAUGAGCGUAUAGGUGGGAUCAACAAACAUAACUGACCAAGCAAGAGAUGUCUUGUUUUGUCAUAAAGAUAGCUUUGCCAAGAUGCGCGAGAGAGAUAUGCAUCAUUAUAUAUAUAAGAAAAUUUUUCAGCUACGGGAUUCGCGUUUGAAAACAUGUGAACGAUCUACCGCUAUCUACGUUAAACUGGUAUGUGUUUAAUAUCGAUAUCACACAUGUGGGGAACAUAUCAUGUAACUACGAGAGAUGUAAUCUAUUGGUAUUACCUGUGCUCCGAAAUCUCGAAAUCAAAUUCAUCCUUACGAACGAACGAUAUGACUGCUCGUUCUUGAGAAAAUUCGAUAUUUUCAAUACAAUUUUAUCGGCUAUACGCGUAACUUCUGUUAAAAUUGAAAAAUGAAUGUUUUAUAUGGAUUUUUAAUAAAUUGUUUUCUUUCCCUCAA